rnacentral:rRNA from 1 species
UCGGGGUACACGAGCGGCGAACGGGUGAGUAACACGUGGGUGAUCUGCCUUGCACUUCGGGAUAAGCCUGGGAAACUGGGUCUAAUACCGGAUAUGACCACGGAAUGCAUGUUCUGUGGUGGAAAGAUUUAUCGGUGCGAGAUGGGCCCGCGGCCUAUCAGCUUGUUGGUGAGGUAACGGCUCACCAAGGCGACGACGGGUAGCCGACCUGAGAGGGUGACCGGCCACACUGGGACUGAGACACGGCCCAGACUCCUACGGGAGGCAGCAGUGGGGAAUAUUGCACAAUGGGCGCAAGCCUGAUGCAGCGACGCCGCGUGCGGGAUGACGGCCUUCGGGUUGUAAACCGCUUUUGACAGGGACGAAGCGCAAGUGACUGUACCUGUAGAAUAAGGACCGGCCAACUACGUGCCAGCAGCCGCGGUAAUACGUAGGGUCCGAGCGUUGUCCGGAAUUACUGGGCGUAAAGAGCUUGUAGGCGGUUCGUCGCGUCGUUUGUGAAAACUUGGGGCUCAACCUUAAGCUUGCAGGCGAUACGGGCGGACUAGAGUACUUCAGGGGAGACUGGAAUUCCUGGUGUAGCGGUGAAAUGCGCAGAUAUCAGGAGGAACACCGGUGGCGAAGGCGGGUCUCUGGGAAGUAACUGACGCUGAGAAGCGAAAGCAUGGGUAGCAAACAGGAUUAGAUACCCUGGUAGUCCAUGCCGUAAACGGUGGGUACUA